rnacentral:tRNA from 1 species
GGGAAGGUGGCUCAGUGGUAUAGCGCUUGCCUUGCAUGCAUGAGGCCCUGGGUUA